rnacentral:rRNA from 1 species
UACGUAGGGUGCAAGCGUUAAUCGGAAUUACUGGGCGUAAAGCGUGCGCAGGCGGUGAUGUAAGACAGAUGUGAAAUCCCCGGGCUCAACCUGGGAACUGCAUUUGUGACUGCAUCGCUGGAGUGCGGCAGAGGGGGAUGGAAUUCCGCGUGUAGCAGUGAAAUGCGUAGAUAUGCGGAGGAACACCGAUGGCGAAGGCAACUCCCCGUGGGCCUGCACUGACGCUCAUGCACGAAAGCGUGGGGAGCAAACAGG